rnacentral:lncRNA from 1 species
AUCAUCACGGUGACUUAUAAGCAACUCACUGUGCUUUGGUGCUGAACUAUCUGAAUUUUUAAUUCAGUGACGGAAGGUUUUUGAGCAUAGUCAAAUACUUAUUAGUCGGUGUGUGAGUCAAGAUAGGAUUGAUCCCUCCAAAUUAUAGAAGUUAAUACAUCAAUAUAUUUCAAUUUAGUAAAAUCUUGACCAGGAUAAUUCAUGUGAUGGA